rnacentral:rRNA from 1 species
CAGUCGCCGCGGUAAUACAGAGGGUGCGAGCGUUAAUCGGAUUUACUGGGCGUAAAGCGUGCGUAGGCGGUUUGGCAAGUUUCGUGUGAAAUCUUCGGGCUCAACUCGAAGUCUGCACGGAAAACUGCCGGGCUUGAGUAUGGGAGAGGUGAGUGGAAUUUCCGGUGUAGCGGUGAAAUGCGUAGAUAUCGGAAGGAACACCUGUGGCGAAAGCGGCUCACUGGACCAUUACUGACGCUGAGGCGCGAAAGCUAGGGGAGCAAACAGGAUUAGAUACCCCAGUAGUCCCUGUCUCUUAUAC